rnacentral:rRNA from 1 species
ACGUCACAGCUGCACGCUAUUAACGUACAACCUUUCUUCCCAAUUGAAAGUGCUUUACAACCCUAAGGCCUUCUUCACACACGCGGCAUGGCUGCGUCAGGCUUUCGCCCAUUGCGCAAUAUUCCCC